GAAGUAGAAGUAGAAGUAGUAGUAGAAGAAGAAGAAGAAGAAGGAAAAGAAGAGAAAGAAAAAAAAAAGAGAAUCCUCCUCACGGUGGAAUGAGGAAACUACGAACGAGGAGGAAGCAACGAGAAGGAGAGGCUCGGAUGUCACCACCGGCUGGUCCACGUCAGGCGUAUCAGGCAAACGGGACGACACGCUUCGCGGAUGUUGCACUGUUGCUCGAGCUUAGGCUUGCAGGCACGUUUUCUUCGUUGGUACCUACGCCGUAUACCUGCACCUGAUACAUACGCACCGAGAUACAUGUCAUUUAGACAAGAAUAUACGUAUCCAACUGGGAGGUCUCUGACCUUUCUCAUUGGAGAACCUCCGGCAGAAGAAAUGUGUUCUCUGUCUUUUUCUAUCCAGCGCAUUGAGAUCCGUUCUUUCCUUAUAUUCUUUCUUUUCUCUCUUUUUUUCUUUUUUUUUCCUCGACGAGAGCAAAAAACUUUUCCUAGAUAAUCGUCCAUUUCCUAAAGACGAUCCGUUUUAACACGGCUUGUGGGAAACUUCGAAAUCAAAGCUCUACUUGGCUUAUCCGAAGAGUUCCUGUAGGACACACGAUACUAUCCCAACUCGUUAAAAACGAUUUCCCAGUCACGACAUACCGAUAACUUCCUGAAAUGGGAUCUUCGAAGUUUCACGGUUACGUGUAGAUAAUUUCGAUUCACCGUUCGCGAAUCGUGCGGAAUGAAGAGGAUAUUUUUACGUGACUUCCUUCUUCCUUCAUUCCUCCUUAAUUAACGCUGUUCAUCAUCCCUAGUUUUAUAACGUUUUAAACCAACGAUAAAGUAAUAGGCAAUAAAGUAAUUCUUGAACGAUUUUCACGAACAAGAUUUCGUUUUAAAGCACGUUUAAGUCCUACCAUGGACUUUGUUUUAAAGUUCGAAUUUUCAAAAACAUGAUCGAUUAACGUGUUAAAUAGCGAUGACAGAAACUUCCGGUGUUGGAUACUGGAGCUAUCUGUAAACAAGGUUUCACUCACCUCCAGUUAGUCAAGAAGCCGGAAUCUCUUGAAGCGACAUGUCAUCCCGGAACUCGGAUUUUAGAGUAGACUCACCGUUAUCCCGUGAAUAUCCACAUGCAGCAAUCUACACGUGGUGAGAUCUGACUCGAUAUUACUUGUGAUAUAUCGAAAUCUAAAUCUA